rnacentral:lncRNA from 1 species
CUAGCCUCACCCGUUUUGAUAGGCCGUUUUUUUACGACCUGGUCCAUUCGGAGCUCAUAUGCCGCGAGGAAAGCCUUCGUCCGGAGAGCAAGGUCUGCGAGCCGUGCGUUAUGGGAAAAAUGACCCGCAGCCCCCAUCAUUCAUCGACGCACAAGGGCGAACGCGUGCUCGACCUCGUCCAUAUGGAUCUUUGCGGCCCGAUGCCGGUCACGUCGCUGGGUGGAGCCAACUACUUCGCUACCUUCUACGACGAUUUUAGCAAAUACUCCGAGGUUCGUUGCGUUCGCGCAAAGAGCGAAGUCCCCGCUGCUGUUCGUGAGGUUUUGACUAAGUGGGAACGGCAGACUGGUCUAGAAGUUCGUUGCGUCCGAACUGAUUGCGGCACGGAGUACGUCAACGAUCGCCUUGCCUCCUUCUUUUCUGAGAGGGGUAUUGUGCAUGAGAAGUCGGCCCCGUAUACACCAGAGCAAAACGGAGCAGCGGAGCGCCUGAACAGGACUUUGCUGGAGCGUGUGCGGGCCAUGCAAUAUGAUUCGGGCGUACCUCCGGAGCUGUGGGGAGAGGCAAUAAUGACGGCCAACGCCUUGCGCAACGUGUGUCCUACGAAGGGGACUGUACAGACGCCGUGGGAGCUGUUUACUGGAAAGCCCCCGGACGUCUCUAAGCUACGGGUAUUCGGGUGCGUGGCUUAUGUACAGGUUCCGAAGGCGCUUAGAAAUAAACUUGACCCGGUCUGCGUCAAGGGUAUCCUAGUUGGGUAUGAACCUAAAUUUAGUGCGUGGCGCGUAUGGAUCCCAGCAGAAGGGCGGAUUCGUGUUAGUGUAGAUGUGGUUUUCGAUGAGGGAAUCAUGUAUAGUGUCGCGUAUUUGCUCGAUUCGAUAGAGGAGUCGCUCUCUUCCGGUACUGAUGAUGAGGGCCCCAGGAGGGCGCCCUUGGUCGAGAUCGAGAUGAAUCCUGUAGGCGGGCNNNNNNNNNNNNNNNNNNNNNNNNNNNNNNNNNNNNNNNNNNNNNNNNNNUCACCUGACCUUCACGCCUGAGGACGUGGAGGGUCUGAAGCCGGUGCGCGAGGGCGAGGGUGUCGUUUUUGAGGUGGCGGAUGGGCGGACGGUUAGCUCGAUUGGUGAGGGCAGGGCGGUUUUCGCCUCUUUUCGAGGGCAGACGGAAUUGUCGGUACCUGUACACGUAGUUCCGGACCUGCAACACCGCCUGUUCUCAGUCAAGGCCCUGAAGAGAUCCUUCCCGGAUCAGGUGGUAGAGGUUGUCCUGUCCGCCGAUUGCUCGUAUAUAGCAAUAGACGGAAUUCCCGCUGUCGAUGUGUUCGAGGAGAACGGGAUGUACAUCGUGCUUGCGCAGCCAGAUGCCGAGUGGAAUAGGGCAUUAUCACUGCAUCGCUUUCCCAAGGAAAAGUUAGACACCUUGCAUCGUCGCAUGGGGCAUGCUAGCCUCACCCGUUUUGAUAGGCCGUUUUUUGACGACCUGGUCCAUUCGGAGCCCAUAUGCCGCGAGGAAAGCCUUCGUCCGGAGAGCAAGGUCUGCGAGCCGUGCGUUAUGGGAAAAAUGACCCGCAGCCCCCAUCAUUCAUCGACGCACAAGGGCGAACGCGUGCUCGAUCUCGUCCAUAUGGAUCUUUGCGGCCCGAUGCCGGUCACGUCGCUGGGUGGAGGCAACUACUUCGCUACCUUCUACGACGAUUUUAGCAAAUACUCCGAGGUUCGUUGCGUUCGCGCAAAGAGCGAAGUCCCCGCUGCUGUUCGUGAGGUUUUGACUAAGUGGGAAUGGCAGACUGGUCUAGAAGUUCGUUGCGUCCGAACUGAUUGCGGCACGGAGUACGUCAACGAUCGCCUUGCCUCCUUCUUUUCUGAGAGGGGUAUUGUGCAUGAGAAGUCGGCCCCGUAUACACCAGAGCAAAACGGAGCAGCGGAGCGCCUGAACAGGACUUUGCUGGAGCGUGUGCGGGCCAUGCAAUAUGAUUCGGG